UGCGUUUUAAUUUUUAACUCUAAUUAUUGUAGUAUUUUUUCUUUUGUUUCUAUUUUUUAUUUUAAUUUUUUGUAAAAUGUUUUAGUUUAUUUUUGUUUUGAGGAAAUACUUAAAAUUUGUUUUAUUGAACUGGAUUAGUACCCAGGUAAUCAAAAUUAAUUAAUUCGGGAGUAAAGUUUUGUUUAAACCGAGAAAAUAUUGACUGACUUUAGAUUUCUUUUUGGAAUAUGUGUAUGGAGAGCCCUCCUUUUAAGUAAAUUUUUUUUUGCUCAUGUAUGAUUGUUUAGUUUUUAUGUUAUUUUGUAAUGCUUUUUUUUUUAAUUUAAAACAGAUAAAUACUUGGCUAAUGGGUUUAUGAUCAUGUGUUACUAUUAAUAAUUUUUUUUGGAUAGUUUUUUAUUUUUUAUUUGAAAUUGGAAAAAAAGUAAUUAUUUUUUUAUGUAUUAGUGAAUUUAAUAAAUAAAGU
rnacentral:rRNA from 1 species